GUAAACUAAGGCUCAGAUAGUGGGAAUGACUUCCUCAGGGUAACAUAGUAAGUUAGCAGGAAAGCUAAGAAUAAGGGAGGACCCAUCUCUCUUGACUUCUGGUUCAGGGUUCUUUUUACUACUCCAGGCUACCUGUCAAGAAUCACCUGGAAUGCAGCUCUGGCUUGCCUAACAGCUUAAUUAAUUACAUUGUAUGUGAGUGACAUCAUUCUGUCUAUAGUAUAAAUUGAGUGAGAGUCCAUGUGAACCUUAACAACUCACCAGAGACUAUACCCAACCAACAAGAAUGGCUUCCUCAGUCCUUCAGAUGAUGAUGGCCGUGGGACUACUUACUUUGAUUCUUCCCUGUCAUGCUGUUGAUAAGCCAACAGUCUCUGAUCCAAAACAAAAUACAGAACUCCCAUCAUUUUUAAAUUCCCUGGGCACUGGAAUCCUUGAGUCUGCAGUGGAAUAUGUUCUUUCCUCAAUGGCCCGGAGAUCUGGAUUCUCUGAUAUGGAAGAUAAACCAGAAAAGGCUUCAUAAAAAGAACUGGAUGCUGAUCUCAGCUCCUCAACAGACCAGGCCACUCCUUUCCCUCAGCUUUCCUGGCUGCCCAGCCCAGAGACCCUGAGCUGCUGUUAUUGCUUGGAUAUCAGUAGCUCCAGUCCCCUGGCUCAGCCUCGGAAGAUUUUGUAUAAAUGAUCACUCUUCCCUUCCUGGAAGACAAAAUAAAGUCCAUAAACUCAUGAUCUUGAGUCCUUAC
rnacentral:lncRNA from 1 species